AUGCUUCUCCUAAAGACUAAGCCAUGCAUGCUCUGAAUAUGAGGAAGCAAUUCUCUCUGAAUCUGCGAACGGCUCCGCAAACCAGUUGUAAACCAAAGCAAGCUUGCUCGGGUUGGGCUUCGGCCUGGCCUGGGUGAUACGGAUAACCCUGGUAAUUCUGAGGCUAAUACGUGUAUGGAACACCCGGUGGACCGGCCUCACGGCUGGGAUAUCGGGAGACGAGUGAUGGAAUGUUUGGAUUACCAGGAACGGGCG
rnacentral:rRNA from 1 species